UCCGAAUCAAUAAAACACAGGAAAUCGAAGUAAAUUGAAGAGAAUCAUGGACAAAAUCGAUCUACUAGAUAAGUUUCUUCUCUCCUUCUCACUGAUUUUCUAUUAAUCAUCUAUAUAUUUGGUGUUUUAAAUAGUUUCUGAAAAGAUGAUUUUAGGUUUCAAAAACCUAAAAUUUAUGCUUUUAUUCGACUGUUUUUUUUUUUUUCCGAUUGAGAGUUUAAUUCAUGAUUUACUCAUCAUCAGAAUCAUUUUCAAAGAUUUCAUGUUUUAAAAUUCUUUCUAAAUCAUAUUAGGGUUCAUUCUUAACCUUGCCUGUAACUGUUUAAUCUUUCAUCCGAUGUUUAAUUUGGAUGUGGAUAUGUUAUUAAAGGAUCCUAAUCUCCAUACCCAUCUAAAAAUUUCCAAAAAAAAAUCGAUUCCAGUUUUGUCCUGAUUUUUCAUCUUCAUUCAUCUGCAAAAUAACUGUAGCUUCAUUCAUCUGCAAAAUAACUAUAGAUGAGGGAUGUAAAUGCUUGAAGUCAACUCUUGCAUGAGUUUUUUAAGUUAAAUCUUUGUUCUUUGAUCAAUCACCUUGAGUUCUCUAGGUUACAGGGGUAUUUCCUACAACUUUUUUUUAUGUGGGUUUUCCAUUGCAUCAGCUUCUCCUCCUGUUGAGAUUGUUGGUGGGUUUAUAUCAAAUGCUCUCGCCCCUUUGUUGAAAUGGCUGUGGGGAUUGAAAGCUAGUACAAAAACAGCAAUUACUGGUAGGCCUAUGAUAAAGUUUGAGAAUGGAUAUACAGUUUAGACUGUAUUUGAUGGGAGUAAACUUGGGAUUGAACCUUAUUCUGUGGAGGCUUGUGGAGUGGGUGUCACGUCAGCUUCCAUCUUCUUUAUCAUAAGAAUGGUGAGUAUGAUGAAGGGGUUUCAGGGUGUUCACAAAAAGUUUGCAAGGCCGGGAGAGACGCAACUCCACUCCGAGCUCUCAAGUGGUCAGAGCAUAAGGCGGUGACUGAAGACAAAGACAUACAUAUGUUUACAAGGCUCAGAGGAAUAGAAGAAAAACUUUUAGUGGAAGUGGUCGGACUUGGUAACAUGGAUUGAAUUGAAUUAUUAUGGAAAUGUGCAGAGGAUGCCGAUGAUGAUAAGUUUCUACAGGAAAGAUCAACAAAGGGAGAUCCACCAACAGGGUAAUCUCAUCUUAAUUUAGGAACAUUUUGUUUCAGUUAACACAAACUAGGUCACCCAUCCAUUUAUGAACGUCAACAUAGAACAUUAUAUGUCAGUCACAAAAAUUUGGGUCUUCAUGAUCAUCUUAGUAGGUUUACUGUGAUACUUGUAUACAUUUGUAUCUCCUACUCAUACUUUAAGUUCACUUCAAUUGAAGAAUCCU